CUGACGAGUGGCGGACGGGUGAGUAAUGCUUGGGAAUCUGGCUUAUGGAGGGGGAUAACGACGGGAAACUGUCGCUAAUACCGCGUAUUAUCGGAAGAUGAAAGUGCGGGACUGAGAGGCCGCAUGCCAUAGGAUGAGCCCAAGUGGGAUUAGGUAGUUGGUGGGGUAAAGGCCUACCAAGCCUGCGAUCUCUAGCUGGUCUGAGAGGAUGACCAGCCACACUGGAACUGAGACACGGUCCAGACUCCUACGGGAGGCAGCAGUGGGGAAUAUUGCGCAAUGGGGGGAACCCUGACGCAGCCAUGCCGCGUGAAUGAAGAAGGCCUUCGGGUUGUAAAGUUCUUUCGGUAUUGAGGAAGGGAUGUGUGCUAAUAGUACACAUCAUUGACGUUAAAUACAGAAGAAGCACCGGCUAACUCCGUGCCAGCAGCCGCGGUAAUACGGAGGGUGCGAGCGUUAAUCGGAAUAACUGGGCGUAAAGGGCACGCAGGCGGUUAUUUAAGUGAGGUGUGAAAGCCCUGGGCUUAACCUAGGAAUUGCAUUUCAGACUGGGUAACUAGAGUACUUUAGGGAGGGGUAGAAUUCCACGUGUAGCGGU
rnacentral:rRNA from 1 species